GGGUAUAUAGCUUAGUGGUAGAGCACAUGCUUAGCAUGCACAGUGUCCUAUGUUCAAUUCCCAGUAUCUCCA
rnacentral:tRNA from 1 species